rnacentral:rRNA from 1 species
ACUACGGGAGUCAGCAGUGAGGAAUAUUGGUCAAUGUGCGCGAGCCUGAACCAGCCAAGUAGCGUGAAGGAUGACUGCCCUACGGGUUGUACACUUCUUUUAUAAAGGAAUCAAGUGAGGCACGUGUGCCUUUUUGUAUGUACUUUAUGAAUAAGGAUCGGCUAACACCGUGCCAGCAGCCGCGGUAAUACGGAGGAUCCGAGCGUUAUCCGGAUUUAUUUGGUGUAAAGGGAGCGUAGAUGGGUUGUUAAGUCUAUUGUGAAAGUUUGCGGCUCAACCGUAAAAUUGCAAUUGAUACUGGCAGUCUUGAGUACAGUUGAGGUAGGCGGAAUUCGUGGUGUAGCGGUGACAUGCUUAGAUAUCACGAAGAACUCCGAUUGCGAAGGCAGCUUACUAAACUGCCACUGACAUUGAUGCUCGAAAGUGUGGGUAUCAAACAGGAUUAGAUACCCCGGUAGUC